rnacentral:rRNA from 1 species
GAUGAACGCUAGCUACAGGCUUAACACAUGCAAGUCGAGGGGCAGCAUGGUCUUAGCUUGCUAAGGCUGAUGGCGACCGGCGCACGGGUGAGUAACACGUAUCCAACCUGCCGUCUACUCUUGGCCAGCCUUCUGAAAGGAAGAUUAAUCCAGGAUGGCAUCAUGAGUUCACAUGUCCGCAUGAUUAAAGGUAUUUUCCGGUAGACGAUGGGGAUGCGUUCCAUUAGAUAGUAGGCGGGGUAACGGCCCACCUAGUCAACGAUGGAUAGGGGUUCUGAGAGGAAGGUCCCCCACAUUGGAACUGAGACACGGUCCAAACUCCUACGGGAGGCAGCAGUGAGGAAUAUUGGUCAAUGGGCGAUGGCCUGAACCAGCCAAGUAGCGUGAAGGAUGACUGCCCUAUGGGUUGUAAACUUCUUUUAUAAAGGAAUAAAGUCGGGUAUGCAUACCCGUUUGCAUGUACUUUAUGAAUAAGGAUCGGCUAACUCCGUGCCAGCAGCCGCGGUAAUACGGAGGAUCCGAGCGUUAUCCGGAUUUAUUGGGUUUAAAGGGAGCGUAGAUGGAUGUUUAAGUCAGUUGUGAAAGUUUGCGGCUCAACCGUAAAAUUGCAGUUGAUACUGGAUGUCUUGAGUGCAGUUGAGGCAGGCGGAAUUCGUGGUGUAGCGGUGAAAUGCUUAGAUAUCACGAAGAACUCCGAUUGCGAAGGCAGCCUGCUAAGCUGCAACUGACAUUGAGGCUCGAAAGU